AGCGAACGCUGGCGGCAUGCUUAACACAUGCAAGUCGCACGGGCAGCUUCGGCUGUCAGUGGCGGACGGGUGAGUAACGCGUAGGUAUCUAUCUUUGGGUGGGGGACAACCGUGGGAAACUACGGCUAAUACCGCAUGACAACUGAGGUUUAAAGGCGCAAGUCGCCUGAGGAGGAGCCUGCGUACGAUUAGCUAGUUGGUGGGGUAAAGCCUACCAAGGCUGUGAUCGUAGCUGGUCUGAGAGGAUGAUCAGCCACAUUGGGACUGAGACACGGCCCAAACUCCUACGGGAGGCAGCAGUGGGGAAUGUUGGACAAUGGCGCAAGCCUGAUCCAGCAAUGCCGCGUGUGUGAAGAAGGUCUUCGGAUUGUAAAGCACUUUCGACGGGACGAUGAUGACGUACCGUAGAAGAAG
rnacentral:rRNA from 1 species